AGUGAACGCUGGCGGUAGGCCUAACACAUGCAAGUCGAACGGCAGCACAGUAAGAGCUUGCUCUUACGCGUGGCGAGUGGCGGGCGGGUGAGGUAUACAACGGACUCUACUUUUUCGUGGGGGCUAUCGUAGGGACACUUACGCUAAUACCGCAUACGACCUCCGGGUGAAAGCAGGGGAUCUUCGGACCUUGUGCGAUUGAAUGAGCCGAUGUCGGAUUAGCUAGUUGGGGGGGUAAAGGCCCACCAAGGCGAGGAUCCGUAGCUGGUCUGAGAGGCUGGUCAGCCGCACUGGAACUGAGACACGGUCCAGACUCCUACGGGAGGCAGCAGUGUGGAAUAUUGGGCAGAAGGCGCGAGCCUGGUCCAGCCAGACCGCGUGUGUGAAGGAGGCCUUGGGGUUGUAAAGCCCUUUUGUUGGGAGAGAAAAGCAGCAAGUAAAGACGCCGCUGUACUGACGGUACCCGAAGAAUAAGCACCGGCUAACUUCGUG
rnacentral:rRNA from 1 species